GCUCCCGCCCCUGGGGCUGUCAGAUGGCUUGGGUUUCUGCGACGCGAUUGGCUCACGGAGGGCAGAAAUUACUCAGCAAACAUGACUAUUAUUAGCUGCUUAGCAACAGCUCACCAAAGUAGAGAGACCACCCAGAAACGGUGUUGAACCGCAGAGGGACCCGCGGCAACAAGAAGCCGACUGAAGCCGUGAAAUGGGGCCGUGUGGCUUUAAGAUGCACACGGUGUGUGUUCAUUGAAAAAAAAAAAAAAAAGAAGAAAGAAAGGAAAGAAAGAGACCCAGAUGGAGAGAAAGGGGGAGGAGCGGGGGAGAGGGCGGAGCUCGCGCGGCCACGUGACCGAGGCCGGCCGGCGCGCGCUCGGCCGCCGGGAGGUCUCUUGCGCGCGCGCGUCUCCGAGUGCACGCGCCCGAGCUCCCGCACUCCCCGCGCCCGCGCGGCCCGGAACGAGCAGCAUCAGUCCCAAUAGCCAAGAUGUGGAAAUGACCGAAGUGUCUGCCAAUGGAUGAAUGGGUGAAAAAAAUGUGGUGUGGAGGCACACAAUGGAAUAUUAAUCAGCCUUAAAAAAGGAAAUCCCACUAUUUGUGACAACAUGGAUGGAACUUGAGUGCAUUAUGCUAAAUACUGAAAUGUCCCAUGAUAAUACAAAUGUAUUUCUAGCGUCCCGUGUGCACAUGCUUCCUCGCUGUCAUCGCAGAAGCCCCACACAGAAGGCGGCUUAGAGGAACGGGAAUGUAUCCGCUCACAGCCCAGAGGCG